rfam:Vigna angularis cultivar Jingnong 6 scaffold16_95, whole genome shotgun sequence.
AAAAAAGCAGGGUUCUGUUGCCUUUUUAAGCAGUCCUCUCGUAACCUUCAGGAAUAUGAAAACCAUUGUUGUUGGGUGAACCUCUGUUAUCUGUUCAUGACUUAAGGUUCAGUAAAUGAUGUAACAUGA